rnacentral:rRNA from 1 species
UACGGGGGGGGCAAGCGUUGUUCGGAAUUACUGGGCGUAAAGGGCUCGUAGGCGGCCAACUAAGUCGGAUGUGAAAUCCCUCAGCUUAACUGGGGAACUGCGUCCGAUACUGAUUGGCUUGAAUCCGGAAGAGGGAUGCGGAAUUCCAGGUGUAGCGGUGAAAUGCGUAGAUAUCUGGAGGAACACCGGUGGCGAAGGCGGCAUCCUGGGUCGGUAUUGACGCUGAGGAGCGAAAGCCAGGGGAGCAAACGGG